GAUUGAACGCUGGCGGCAGGCCUAACACAUGCAAGUCGAGCGGAUGAAGAGAGCUUGCUCUCUGAUUUAGCGGCGGACGGGUGAGUAAUGCCUAGGAAUCUGCCUGGUAGUGGGGGAUAACGUUCCGAAAGGAACGCUAAUACCGCAUACGUCCUACGGGAGAAAGCAGGGGACCUUCGGGCCUUGCGCUAUCAGAUGAGCCUAGGUCGGAUUAGCUAGUUGGUGAGGUAAUGGCUCACCAAGGCGACGAUCCGUAACUGGUCUGAGAGGAUGAUCAGUCACACUGGAACUGAGACACGGUCCAGACUCCUACGGGAGGCAGCAGUGGGGAAUAUUGGACAAUGGGCGAAAGCCUGAUCCAGCCAUGCCGCGUGUGUGAAGAAGGUCUUCGGAUUGUAAAGCACUUUAAGUUGGGAGGAAGGGCAUUAACCUAAUACGUUAGUGUUUUGACGUUACCAACAGAAUAAGCACCGGCUAACUUCGU
rnacentral:rRNA from 1 species